UGUGACCUCAAAUCAGGUAGGACUACCCGCUGAACUUAAGCAUAUCAAUAAGCGGAGGAAAAGAAACUAACAAGGAUUCCCCUAGUAACUGCGAGUGAAGCGGGAAAAGCUCAAAUUUAAAAUCUGGCGGUCUUUUGGCUGUCCGAGUUGUAAUCUAGAGAAGUGUUAUCCGCGCUGGACCGUGUACAAGUCUCCUGGAAUGGAGCAUCAUAGAGGGUGAGAAUCCCGUCUUUGACAUGGACUGCCAGGGCUUUGUGAUGCGCUCUCAAAGAGUCGAGUUGUUUGGGAAUGCAGCUCAAAAUGGGUGGUAAAUUCCAUCUAAAGCUAAAUAUUGGCGAGAGACCGAUAGCGAACAAGUACCGUGAGGGAAAGAUGAAAAGAACUUUGGAAAGAGAGUUAAACAGUACGUGAAAUUGCUGAAAGGGAAACGCUUGAAGUCAGUCGCGUCAUCCAGGGAUCAACCUUGCUUUUGCUUGGUGCACUUCCUGGUUUGAUGGGUCAGCAUCAAUUUUGACCGUUGGAAAAAGGCUGAGGGAAUGUGGCAUCUUCGGAUGUGUUAUAGCCCUCUGUCACAUACAAUGGUUGGG
rnacentral:rRNA from 1 species